rnacentral:rRNA from 1 species
GAUGAACGCUGGCGGCGUGCCUAAUACAUGCAAGUCGAGCGAACAGAUGAGGAGCUUGCUCCUCUGACGUUAGCGGCGGACGGGUGAGUAACACGUGGAUAACCUACCUAUAAGACUGGGAUAACUUCGGGAAACCGGAGCUAAUACCGGAUAAUAUAUUGAACCGCAUGGUUCAAUAGUGAAAGACGGUUUUGCUGUCACUUAUAGAUGGAUCCGCGCCGCAUUAGCUAGUUGGUAAGGUAACGGCUUACCAAGGCAACGAUGCGUAGCCGACCUGAGAGAGGGGUGAGCCACAAGAGGAGAGAAAAACGGUAGGGAAAAAAACGGGGCGGAGCAGGGGGGAAUGUGCAGUAAUGGUCGAAGAAAAGAAGGAGUAAGGGAACGAGAAAGAAAAAAGGUGUAAGAACGUAAAACUUAAUUAUUAGAGACAAACAAAAGGGUAAGUGAAAAUGCAGAGCAGGAAGAUCGAUAAUAAGAGAGAAACGACUUACUACGGG